rnacentral:rRNA from 1 species
AUUGAACGCUGGCGGCAGGCUUAACACAUGCAAGUCGAGCGAGCGGCGGACGGGUGAGUAAUGUCUGGGAAACUGCCUGAUGGCGGGGGAUAACUACUGGAAACGGUAGCUAAUACCGCAUACCAUCAGAUGUGCCCAGAUGGGCUUAGCUAGUUGGUGGGGUAAAGGCUGACCAGAGCGACGAUCCCUAGCUGGUCUGAGAGGAUGACCAGCCACACUGGAACUGAGACACGGUCCAGACUCCUCCGUGAGGCAGCAGUGGGGAAUGUUGCACAAUGGGCGCAAGCCUGAUGCAGCCAUGCCGCGUGUGUGAUGAAGGCCUUCGGGUUGUAAAGCACUUUCGGCGAGGAGGCGUUACUCGCAGAAGAAGCACCGGCUAACUCCGUGCCAGCAGCCGCGGUAAUUC